GCGGGAGUAACUCAGUGGUAGAGUCUCUCGUUGCCAACGAGAUUGUCGCGGGUUCAAAUCCCGUCUCCCGCU
rnacentral:tRNA from 1 species